ACCUAUCAUACUACUAUGGGCUGACCCUGUAAAACAACACCUAUCAUACUACUAUGGGCUGACCCUGUAAAACAACACCUAUCAUACUACUAUGACUGACCCUGUAAAACAACACCUAUCAUACUACUAUGACUGACCCUGUAAAACAGCACAAUACACUGGACCUAUCAUACUACUAUGACUGACCCUGUAAAACAGCACAAUACACUAUAAUACUACUAUGGUGUAUGUAACAAUAAAACAUAAUUUAAAACUAAUAAUUUUGGGGUGUUUAUAAAUGCUAUUUAUUUAUUAUGGAAUAAUGUAUGUAUAUAUGUAUUUAUGUUUUCAUGUAAAUCAUCUGAAUACUACCAUGGUACCUAUUGUACAUGUCGUUUUCAUGUAAAUCAUCUGAAAACUAUUAUGGUACCUAUUGUACAUGUUGUUUUCAUGUAAAUCAUCUGAAUACUACUCUGUUACCCAUCGUAUAUGUUGUUUUCAUGUAAAUCAUCUGAAUACCACUAUAGUACCCAUUGUACAUGUUGUUUUAAUGUAAAUCAUCUGAAUACUACUCUGUUACCCAUCGUAUAUGUUGUUUUCAUGUAAAUCAUCUGAAUACUACUAUAGUACCCAUUGUACAUGUUGUUUUCAUGUAAAUCAUCUGAAUACUAUUAUGGUACCUAUUGUACAUGUUGAUUUCAUGUAAAUCAUCUGAAUACUACUAUAGUACCCAUUGUACAUGUUGUUUUCAUGUAAAUCAUCUGAAUACUAUUAUGGUACCUAUUGUACAUGUUGUUUUCAUGUAAAUCAUCUGAAUACUACUAUAAUACCCAUUGUACAUGUUGUUUUCAUGUAAAUCAUUUGAAUACUACUAUAGUACCCAUUGUACAUGUUGUUUUCAUGUAAAUCAUCUGAAUACUACCAUGGACACAUUGUGCAUGUUGAUUUCAUGUAAAUCAUCUGAAUACUACUAUAGUACCCGUUGUACAUGUUGUUUUCAUGUAAAUCAUCUGAAUACUAUUAUGGUACCUAUUGUACAUGUUGAUUUCAUGUAAAUCAUCUGAAUACCACUAUAGAAUUCAGUGUACAUGUUUUUUUAAUGUAAAUCAUCUGAAUACUACUAUAGUACCCAUUGUACAUGUUGUUUUCAUGUAAAUCAUCUGAAUACUACUAUAGUACCCAUUGUACAUGUUGUUUUCAUGUAAAUCAUCUGAAUACUACUAUAAUACCCAUUGUACAUGUUGUUUUCAUGUAAAUCAUUUGAAUACUACUAUAGUACCCAUUGUACAUGUUGUUUUCAUGUAAAUCAUCUGAAUACUACCAUGGACACAUUGUGCAUGUUGAUUUCAUGUAAAUCAUCUGAAUACUACCAUGGUACUCAUUGUACAUGUUAUUUUCAUGUAAAUCAUUUGAAUACUACUAUAGUACCCAUUGUACAUGUUCUUUUCAUGUAAAUCAUCUGAAUACUACCAUGGACACAUUGUGCAUGUUGUUUUCAUGUAAAUCAUCUGAAUACUACCAUGGUACCCAUUGUACAUGUUAUUUUCAUGUAAAUCAUUUGAAUACUACUAUAGUACCCAUUGUACAUGUUCUUUUCAUGUAAAUCAUCUGAAUACUACCAUGGACACAUUGUGCAUGUUGAUUUCAUGUAAAUCAUCUGAAUACUACUAUAGUACCCAUUGUACAUGUUGUUUUCAUGUAAAUCAUUUGAAUACUACUGUAGUACCCGUUGUACAUGUUGUUUUCAUGUAAAUCAUCUGAAUACUACUAUAGUACCCAUUGUACAUGUUGUUUUCAUGUAAAUCAUUUGAAUACUACUGUAGUACCCGUUGUACAUGUUGUUUUCAUGUAAAUCAUUUGAAUACUACUAUAGUACCCAUUGUACAUGUUGUUUUCAUGUAAAUCAUCUGAAUACUACCAUGGACACAUUGUGCAUGUUGAUUUCAUGUAAAUCAUCUGAAUACUACCAUGGUACUCAUUGUACAUGUUAUUUUCAUGUAAAUCAUUUGAAUACUACUAUAGUACCCAUUGUACAUGUUCUUUUCAUGUAAAUCAUCUGAAUACCACUAUUGCACUCUUGUUGUUAUUCUAUUUAUAGCCUAAAUGCAUGAUCAAGUUUUCUAUUUUAUUUAUAUUCAUUAUGGUGUCAUGUUCAAAUCAAAUUUUGCUCAUCUGCGAUGGACGACGUUUGUGCUGAUUGUUUUACGAAUGUGUUUCGUGACGAUAAUUUUUUUCAGAGAACAGAAUGCAGAGACGAAGGAAUGAACCGACUUCUUCAUCUCAUUAUUUGACACACACAGCCUUACUUUCAUUCAUGUUUUCAUUAGUUACACAGCCUUACUUUCAUUCAUGUUUUCAUUAGUUACACAGCCUUACUUUCAUUCAUGUUUUCAUUAGUUACACAGCCUUACUUUCAUUCAUGUUUUCAUUAGACACAUAGCCUUACUUUCAUUCAUGUUUUCAUUAGACACACAGCCUUACAUUCAUUCAUGUUUUCAUUAGACACACAGCCUUACUUUCAUUCAUGUUUUCAUUAGACACACAGCCUUACAUUCAUUCAUGUUUUCAUUAGACACACAGCCUUACUUUCAUUCAUGUUUUCAUUAGACACACAGCCUUACAUUCAUUCAUGUUUUCAUUAGACACACAGCCUUACAUUCAUUCAUGUUUUCAUUAGACACACAGCCUUACAUUCAUUCAUGCUGCCAUUUAACAGGAAUGUUCUUUUCCCAUUGUUGUCAUGUUAUUUUCUAAUUGUUUUAACGAUAUAGUAGGUCACUUUCUCAGUUUAGGUCUUUAAGUUCUACUCUGUAUCUCACUCUGUCUGCCCCUUACAUAGCACCCUGUCCCCUACGUAGUGCACUAGUGUUGACCAAAGCCCUAUGUAGUGCACUAAUGUUGACCUAUCCCUUCCGGAGUGCACUAGUGUUGACCUAUACCCUACGUAGUGCACUACUGUUGACCAGAGCCCUAUGUUGAAAGUUGUGCACUAUAUAGGGAAUAGGGUGCCAUUUGGGAGACAAGCCUGUGUAACAUUAUUUAUAUAUAUAUAUAUAUCACUGUUCUUAAUCCUGGUCCAUGGGACCCACAUGGGGUGCAGGGAUUAGUUCCAACCCAGCACUAACACACCCGUUAACAGCUAUAGUCAAGGUUUGAUGAUUAGUUGAUCAGCUGUAGCCUGUUAGUUAGUGCUGGGAUGGCACUAAACUCUGCACAGGACCAGGGUCGUCCACCAGUGACGACAUCACUUCCUUGUUGACCUUGACCUUCAACCCUUGUUUUCUCGGUACUAACGUGACACAGAAAUAAAGCAGUGAUUCAAG
ensembl:lncRNA